rnacentral:rRNA from 1 species
UACGGAGGGUGCAAGCGUUGUUCGGAAUUAUUGGGCGUAAAGGGCGCGUAGGCGGUUGUGUAAGUCAGAUGUGAAAUACUUCGGCUCAACUGAAGAACUGCAUUUGAUACUACAUAGCUAGAGUACAGAAGAGGGAAAUGGAAUUCCCGGUGUAGAGGUGAAAUUCGUAGAUAUCGGGAGGAACACCAGUGGCGAAGGCGAUUUCCUGGUCUGAUACUGACGCUGAGGCGCGAAAGCGUGGGGAG